rnacentral:ncRNA from 2 species
CCCCUGCAUCCAGAGUUGGUACCCGACGGUACCAACGCCAACCUGCCUCUCCCGGGCAAGGUGGUUGCCUCAAGGCGAUGCGGCCGAUGGUCGGCAACGAAGCGGGAAGCG